rnacentral:rRNA from 1 species
CUGCUGCCUCCCGUAGGAGUUUGGACCGUGUCUCAGUUCCAAUGUGGGGGACCUUCCUCUCAGAACCCCUAUCCAUCGUCGUCUUGGUGGGCCGUUACCCCGCCAACUAACUAAUGGAACGCAUCCCCAUCGAUAACCGAAAUUCUUUAAUAUCAAGAUCAUGCGACCUUGAUAUCCUAUCGGAUAUUAAUCUUUCUUUCGAAAGGCUAUCCCCGAGUUAUCGGCAGGUUGGAUACGUGUUACUCACCCGUGCGCCGGCCGCCAUCGGAAG